GUUACAGUUUCCCUUAAAAUCUUCAGAGGAUGUAGAAUGUCUCAAGUUGGAUUUAAAGACAGAUCCAGGAAAACGUGCACGCUUGAAUUAGCCCGGUGUUACAACUAUAAUGGCCUGAAGGGAAAGAAGGGACUGAAGAACCACCCCUUUAUUUUAAGAACAGUUCAGGAUGCUGCAAGAAAAAGUUAUCCUGAUGC